rnacentral:lncRNA from 1 species
UUUAGGAGGCUAUAGAUGCACUACAGUAGAUGAAAGUGGAGUUGGUAUCAGGCCUUGUGAACUCUGAUCAGAGCUGUGACAGACAGAAGGAAAAUGAGCAUUUUGCCACCUGAAGGGCAAAAGGACAUCCUGUGUAAACAAGGCUUCUCUUUUUCAUUUUUAUUUUGUAGAAGACCAUCCACAUAGGUCACAUGAACUUAUGUCCUGAGCGGUGCCUCUGUCAUGUUCUCUGUUUAUGAUCAGGAAGGUCUGGCCUCCGCCUCUACUCUUUCAGUCCUAACUGUGAUUAGAAAAAUCCAGUGGGCACUGAAGCUGGGAAAUGAAAUGACUUCUCCAAGCAUCUGAUUCCACCUGCUGUCCCUAUGUUCCCUCUGUAAAUGCACCCAGCACCUAAGUGUCAGAAAACGCACUGCAUCUGGGAUAUAGCAACUCAUUCAUGCUACCUAGAAAGAGUCCACCAAUAUUGGAAUGAAACUAUCCACAUCAGCUGCGUGACUUUAAGGUGGUUAUUUACCAUCUCUGAUCCUCAAUUUCUUCAUCUGAGUGUGUGUGUAAGAGAGAGAGGUAUUUUCUUUGAUAUAUUAUCAUACAAAGCUAUUAGAUGACAUAAUUUUAGUCAGGGUAUCUGGCUCAUAAGUUUAACAAAUAGCUAUCAUUCAUAAAUCAUGUGUAAUUGAGGCAAAAACGAAAAGAUGGAAUAAGUCAAAUGGAAGCUUGGCCAAUAUUUGAUUGUUUGUUUUAUGUAAUUAUAACGUAUCAGGAUAUCAGUGUCCUGGUUCCCCAUUCUAGUCCAACCCAGAAAGUGUGUAAUGAAUACCUACAAAGUGUCAGGCACUAAGCAAAGUAAAAAUCAAACCAAAUAAGGCAAAACUCACACUCUCUGUCCAGAAGGAAGAUAAGGCCAGAUAUGAAAAACACAAGUGAGUGGAGUCCAUGAUAGAACUAGGUACAAAUUUCAGUGAUGGCAGAAAGGAUGGAGGAGAUUCUUCUAUAUGAGUAAGUCAGGUUUCAGUUCAUUUGCUGUUUCUCCUCGAAUGCUGACUCAUCCCUUGUUCUUUAUGCAGAAUUCUGACUUGUUGGCUGUAACCCUUGCCUAGAUUCACAUGCUUAUUAUUUUUUAAAUUAUCAGUCAUGGCUGGUUCUGGGUCUGUGUUGACGUAACUGAUGCAUAUAUCAACCUGAAAGCACUUGUCUAGAGUGAGAUACCACCUGUGUUCUUUCCUGAGUUGUGAAAUGCCAUGUAGAGGCAAAGUCAUGGUUAAAUGGGACCUUUAGGAGCAACUGAGCAAACAUUGGAUGUCUAACUUCCAAAGAGACAAAGCAUCUCCCAAUAUUCCCAAGGCCAUAUAGAGACAGAGUCAAAUAAUGAGAAUGCUUAGAAUGUAGAGACCAAUGGCCAUUUGUAGAGACCAAUGGCCAUCUAUUUCUGCACACUUGACCACACAACUAAAAAGUUUGAGAUUAUUGAACUGCUAUUUGAGGGAAAAACAAUAUAAUAAUAAUCCUAUAAUAGGUACAUUUAAUUAAACUUUUCUGAUAUUGAAUUUACUGGUUUUCUUCACAAUUGGAAGAUAAAGUGGUGUCAUUAACACCUUUUUAAUUAAUACUAUUCAGGGAAAUUAUGUACGUUCAACUUAAUAGUUAAAGGUAAAACCUAAAUUCCCAAUCAUAUCUAUCCAAUUCCAUACUCUUUCUAUAAGUUUCUGCUUUCAAAAUAGUCUACACAAUAUAAGAUAAUGACUCCAAGGAGCUAGCAGAGAUUUCAAAACUCUAUUAUUUACAUCACACUGUAAUAACAGCUAAGCAUGUCUCUAGAAAACGCCCUUGGUUUGAGACUAACUUACAUAGGAGAGAGUCAUAUGAAGGAUUUACAUCCAUUUUUAUUUAAGUAAAUGAAGAGAGGGUUUUCACUAAUAUUUGGAUUGUACUUCAAGUUACACCAUAGAUGUAUCUGGUCAUGGAAAAGUAGGAAAGCAAGCAAUAUGUAUAAAAUUGCAAUAAAAGACAGGUAGAACAGCAUCAAGAAUGGAACUGUUUUCAGAAACGUGACCUGGACAUGGCUUUGCCCAACUCAGAACCUCAUAGUCUAAGAGACUAGAAACAUCAUCACAGACCUAGCUGUGCCCCUCUCUGAAUCUUUACUUUCCUCUCUUAAAACAAUAAUAAAUGUGGGGACAUUUCUUCCUGUCUUGCUUUCCCCUAAGAAUCAUUAACAAAAUCCAGAGAUAUGGUGGAUAUAACAUUAUAAAGGAUGGGAAAAUGCUUGGUAAAUUGUAUAUGGCUACAUAAACAUAAGGAGUUAUUAUUAUGUUGAUUAUCAUUGGUGACAGCACGGACAAAUGUGCUAAUUAUACCCAUAAAAUGAAGAUGCAAAUGCUUUACUCUGGACUUUUAAGAGAGGCUUAUUCUUCUCCUAAAAAGAGUGAUUAUAAGCACAAAAUAUUACUUUUUAUUAGUACUGCAGUAACUGUUCCAUGUAAUAUUAAUAACAAUAAUAAAAUGUAAGCCACUUCUACAUUAUUUUCAGGGAGAAAAGAACACAAGAGCUAAAAAGUUGUAUGAGUAGGAACUUGUCCCUUUUAAUGAUAUCUGUAAAAAUGCAAUAGAUGUUGCAAUAAAUCUCUGUCUCCCUCCAACAUCCCCUAUUUUGCAUUUUCUCUCAAUCAUACUUGCCUACUUUUGUUUGGCAUCAUUUGUGACCUCGGUGGAUAUAUUAAUAAAAGUAGCCACAAUAAGCCCUGUAGCUAAUUUUCUGUAUUAUCCAACUGACACAUUUCCCUCAAAUUGUCCCAGACCUGUCCAUUGGUAUUUAUUACUACAUUUGGCUGGAACCCUUGGAUAUAUUUUGAUUGCAUAUGACAAGGUUCCCUUCAAGGGUCCUGUUUAGUUUGGUUUGCACAUGCACCUACCGAAACUACUACCUAGAAAAACUACGAGAAUUCCAUAUUUCUACACUGUUUGUCACAAGCUAUGCUCCUGCAGCUGGGAGAAAUUUGGUAAGAAAACAUAUCUGCCUU